ACGUUAUUCGGAAUCACUGGGCUUAAAGCGCGUGUAGGCGGGGCGGCACGUCGGGUGCUGAAAUCCCCCGGCUUAACCGGGGAAGGGGCGCCGAUACGGCCGCCCUCGAGGGGCGUAGGGGGAGCCGGAACUUCCGGUGGAGCGGUGAAAUGCGUUGAGAUCGGAAGGAACGCCCGUGGCGAAAGCGGGCUCCUGGACGCCAACUGACGCUGAGACGCGAAAGCCA
rnacentral:rRNA from 1 species